rnacentral:rRNA from 1 species
GAUGAACGCUGGCGGCGUGCCUAAUACAUGCAAGUCGAGCGAACAGACGAGGAGCUUGCUCCUCUGACGUUAGCGGCGGACGGGUGAGUAACACGUGGAUAACCUACCUAUAAGACUGGGAUAUCUUCGGGAAACCGGAGCUAAUACCGGAUAAUAUAUUGAACCGCAUGGUUCAAUAGUGAAAGACGGUUUUGCUGUCACUUAUAGAUGGAUCCGCGCCGCAUUAGCUAGUUGGUAAGGUAACGGCUUACCAAGGCGACGAUGCGUAGCCGACCUGAGAGGGUGAUCGGCCACACUGGAACUGAGACACGGUCCAGACUCCUACGGGAGGCAGCAGUAGGGAAUCUUCCGCAAUGGGCGAAAGCCUGACGGAGCAACGCCGCAUGAGUGAUGAAGGUCUUCGGAUCGUAAAACUCUGUUAUUAGGGAAGAACAAAUGUGUAAGUAACUAUGCACGUCUUGACGGUACCUAAUCAGAAAGCCACGGCUAACUACGUG